GGGGGUGUAAAGAGUGGAAGAAACUAAGGUGGGAUUGUGAAUGCGGUCAAUGCCAGUCCACCGGCCAUUGUAGACCAGUACUCGGGAGGGGGGUGAGGGUGAAGAGGGCCUGAUGUGAGUCUGGGUUCUGGACCGUGGAGGUGUUAGUGACCGGAGUGAGAUGGGAUCGUGCCAGCUGAAGGAUUUAUCGCCCACCUAUAAUUUCCCAGAGGGCAGUUAAGAGUCAACCACAUUGCUGUGGGUCUGGAGUCACACAUAGGCCAGACCAGAAUCCUGUAAUCACUGGAUCAGAGAUCAAAGGGGUAGCGGGGCCCCAGGUCUCACACAAUUCGGGAGAGCGAGAGAAGGAAAACAGAAAUCAAGGGACGAGAGGGUGCUGCGGGGAGGGGAGACAGAGCAGUAAACGGAGACAAAUUAAAGAGAGAGAGAGAGAGAGAGGGUUGAGAGUCUGGUGUAAAUACUCCCUCUCUGGGACACAAGUCUUUACUUCCAACUAGUCCGCAAUAAGGAAUUGGACACAGGAUGAGGCCAUUCAGUCUGACAUGCCUGUACUUAACACGUUGAAACAUCAGCUCGUUGGUUGGCACUUUCACAUCUAGUGCCAAGAUUCCCUAAACCCAGUGAGUUGACACCAUGCCAGCUGAGCCAUUGGACUACAGCAUGUGAAGUGACAUAAAAUAAACACAAGUAACGCCUUAAGAUAUUCCAUGGGCAUCAGUAUUCAUCCUUAAGAUUCUCCCGAACUUAACGUUAAACCUUAGUGCGUGUAAAAUCCAUUAAACUCUGUAUUUUAAACAGCACA